rnacentral:rRNA from 1 species
CCUACGGUGCGCAGCAGUAGGGAAUUUUGCGCAAUGGGCGAAAGCCUGACGCAGUAACGCCGCGUGAACGAGACGCCCUUCGGGGUGUAAAGUUCUGUCAGUGGGGACGAAAAAUGACGGUACCCACAGAGGAAGCACCGGCUAACUCCGUGCCAGAAGCCGCGGUAAUACGGAGGGUGCAGGCGUUAUCCGGAUUUAUUGGGUUUAAAGGGUGCGUAGGCGGUCGGAUAAGUUAGAGGUGAAAUCCCGAGGCUCAACUUCGGAAUUGCCUCUGAUACUGUUCGGCUAGAGAGUAGUUGCGGUAGGCGGAAUGUAUGGUGUAGCGGUGAAAUGCUUAGAUAUCAGGAGGAACAUCGGUGGCGUAAGCGCUUUACUGGGCCGUAAUUGACGCUGAGGAACGAAAGCCAGGGUAGCAAAUGGGAUUAGAUACCCCGGUAGUC